rnacentral:rRNA from 1 species
UAGAGGAAGUAAAAGUCGUAACAAGGUCUCCGUUGGUGAACCAGCGGAGGGAUCAUUGCUGGAAGCGUCUCACGGCGCACCCAGAUACCCUUUGUGAACUUAUACCUAUCUGUUGCCUCGGCGCAGGCUGGGAGCUUUUGUAAACUCCCCCCCGCGGACUCACCUCUGCGCGGAGCAGGCCCGCCGGCGGCCCUACCAAACUCUCUGUUUUUAUCGUAUCUCUUCUGAGUAACAAACAAAAAAUGAAUCAAAACUUUCAACAACGGAUCUCUUGGUUCUGGCAUCGAUGAAGAACGCAGCGAAAUGCGAUAAGUAAUGUGAAUUGCAGAAUUCAGUGAAUCAUCGAAUCUUUGAACGCACAUUGCGCCCGCUGGUAUUCCAGCGGGCAUGCCUGUUCGAGCGUCAUUUCAACCCUCAAGCCCCGCUUGGUGUUGGGGCCCUGCCGCCCUCUCUCGCCCCCCUAAAGGGAGACAGAGAGGCAGGCCCUGAAAUACAAUGGCGAGCUCACUAGGACUCCGAGCGUAGUAGUUUACCACCUCGCUAUGGACGGACUAGUGGUGCUUUGGCCGUAAAACCCCCCCAUUUCUGAAAAGUUGACCUCGGAUCAGGUAGGAAUACCCGCUGAACUUAAGCAUAUC